rnacentral:rRNA from 1 species
AACGUAGGAGGCAAGCGUUAUCCGGAGUUACUGGGCGUAAAGCGCAUGUAGGCGGUUGGGCAAGUUGAGUGUGAAAGCUCCCGGCUAAACUGGGAGAGGACAUUUAAGACUGCCCGGCUAGAGGUCGGUAGAGGGGCGCAGAAUUCGGGGUGUAGCGGUGAAAUGUGUAGAGAUCCCGAGGAAUACCAGUGGUGAAGACGGCGCCCUGGGCCGAUACUGACGCUGAGGCGCGAAAGCUAGGGGAGCAAACGGG